rnacentral:rRNA from 1 species
GAUGAACGCUCGCUACAGGCUUAACACAUGCAAGUCGCGGGGCAGCAUGGGGGUUGCUUGCAAUCCCCGAUGGCGACCGGCGCACGGGUGAGUAACGCGUAUCCAACCUGCCCUUCACCACGGGAUAACCCGGCGAAAGUCGGACUAAUACCGUAUGUUGUCCAUUGACGGCAUCCGAUUUGGACGAAAGGUUUGGCAGUGAAGGAUGGGGAUGCGUCCGAUUAGCUGGACGGCGGGGUGACGGCCCACCGUGGCGACGAUCGGUAGGGGUUCUGAGAGGAAGGUCCCCCACACUGGAACUGAGACACGGUCCAGACUCCUACGGGAGGCAGCAGUGAGGAAUAUUGGUCAAUGGGCGUAAGCCUGAACCAGCCAAGUAGCGUGCAGGAUGACGGCCCUAUGGGUUGUAAACUGCUUUUAUGCGGGGAUAAAGUGGCCCACGUGUGGGUUUUUGCAGGUACCGCAUGAAUAAGGACCGGCUAAUUCCGUG